UCAAAUAGUACAGUAAGGAAAAAAUUGCUAAAACUAAGAUUUGUAAAGUGAAAAAAAAUAUAUUUUUUUUUUUCGUUCUACUCGCUAUUUUUUGAU
rnacentral:tRNA from 1 species